UUGAUCAUGGCUCAGAUUGAACGCUGGCGGCAGGCCUAACACAUGCAAGUCGAGCGGUAGAGAGAAGCUUGCUUCUCUUGAGAGCGGCGGACGGGUGAGUAAUGCCUAGGAAUCUGCCUGGUAGUGGGGGAUAACGCUCGGAAACGGACGCUAAUACCGCAUACGUCCUACGGGAGAAAGCAGGGGACCUUCGGGCCUUGCGCUAUCAGAUGAGCCUAGGUCGGAUUAGCUAGUUGGUGAGGUAAUGGCUCACCAAGGCGACGAUCCGUAACUGGUCUGAGAGGAUGAUCAGUCACACUGGAACUGAGACACGGUCCAGACUCCUACGGGAGGCAGCAGUGGGGAAUAUUGGACAAUGGGCGAAAGCCUGAUCCAGCCAUGCCGCGUGUGUGAAGAAGGUCUUCGGAUUGUAAAGCACUUUAAGUUGGGAGGAAGGGCAUUAA
rnacentral:rRNA from 1 species